rnacentral:lncRNA from 1 species
UGUCUCCAAGCCAGAUUUAAUCACCUGUCUGGAGCAAGGAGAAGAGCCCUGGAAGAGACACAAGAUGGUAUCCAAGCCCCCAGUUGUGUGUUCUCAUUUUGCCCAAGACCUUUGGCCAGAGCAGGGCAUAAAAGAUUCUUUCCAAAAAGUAAUACUGAGAAGCUAUGGAAAAUAUGGACAUGACAAUUUACAAUUAAGAAAAGGCUGUGAAAGUGUGGAUGAGUGUAAGAUGCACAAAAGAGGUUAUGAUGAACUUAAGCAAUGUUUGACAACUACCCCGAGCAAAAUAUUUCAAUGUGAUAAAUAUGUAAAAGUCUUUCAUAAAUUUUCAAGUUCAAAUAGCCAUAAGAUAAGACAUACUGGAAAUAAUUCUUUCAAAUGUAAAGAAUGUGGCAAAUCAUUUUGCAUGCUUUCACACCUAACUAAACAUGAAAGAAAUCAUACUAGAGUGAAUUGUUACAAAUGUGAAGAAUGUGGCAAAGCCUUUAAUGUGCCCUCAAAGCUUAAUAAUCAUAAGAGAAUUCAUACUGGAGA